GGAAUAUUGGACAAAGGGCGAAAGCCUGUUCCAGCCAUGCCGCGUGUGUGAAGAAGGUCUUCGGAUUGUAAAGCACUUUAAGUGGGGAGGAAGGGCAGUAAGUUAAUACCUUGCUGUUUUGACGUUACCGACAGAAUAAGCACCGCCUAACUCUGUGCCAGCAGCCGCGGUAAUACAGAGGGUGCAAGCGUUAAUCGGAAUUACUGGGCGUAAAGCGCGCGUAGGUGGUUUGUUAAGUUGGAUGUGAAAGCCCCCGGCUCAACCUGGGAACUGCAUCCAAAACUGGCAAGCUAGAGUACGGUAGAGGGUGGUGGAAUUUCCUGUGUAGCGGUGAAAUGCGUAGAUAUAGGAAGGAACACCAGUGGCGACGGCGACCACCUGGACUGAUACUGACACUGAGGUGCGAAAGCGUGGGGAGCA
rnacentral:rRNA from 1 species